rnacentral:rRNA from 1 species
CAGCCGCCGCGGUAAUACAGAGGGUGCGAGCGUUAAUCGGAUUUACUGGGCGUAAAGCGUGCGUAGGCGGCUUCUUAAGUCGGAUGUGAAAUCCCCGGGCUUAACCUGGGAACUGCAUUUGAAACUGGCAGGCUAGAGUCUUGUAGAGGGGGGUAGAAUUCCAGGUGUAGCGGUGAAAUGCGUAGAGAUCUGGAGGAAUACCGGUGGCGAAGGCGGCCCCCUGGACAAAGACUGACGCUCAGGUGCGAAAGCGUGGGGAGCAAACAGGAUUAGAUACCCGGGUAGUCCCUGUCUCUUAUAC